rnacentral:lncRNA from 1 species
GUAUAUUUACUAUCUAUCAUUGGAUUUGGAACUACAGUAACUCAUGAGUUUGUUGGUCUUUUCUCUUGAAAAGUGGCAGUGUUCUAUUCUUGACCAUGAAAUAAAGGGUCUUAAUCUUUAGGACAUUUUGUCAAAUACGUCACAAUUAUAUUCUCAAAAAAAAAAAAUAAAUAAAUAAAAUUCAUACAAGUAUACGCUUCUGUUGAAAAAUGUCCAUGAAAAUUCUUUACCCAAUAUAUUAUUAAUAUCUAGCAGAGCCCAUAAUACUAUCAAUCCCAAAUUCACAAUAUUUUGUUCUAAGAGCAACUCCUAGACUCACUAAUAAUAUCAAUACCUCUCCUGACUUCAAAUAUAGUCAUCAACACUCCAGGGCUCAAGACCAAGGGGAUCCUAUUCAGUAUCAGUUCUAAGAAGUGAAGCUAACUACAAUCUCAUCACAUCAGAAAACAAAUCAAGUUAGCUUUACAUACACAAGAUACAUAACAAGGGAAAGCAUAAACAGAAAAAUUGACAACUAACACUAGUUGUAAUUAGAAUUGCCAUAACUCUAAAAUACAAUUUAUUCGUUGCAGUGUCAUGAGAUUUUGAUUCACAUUAGUAUGUAUGCAGGACUAUUAACUGGCUUUUCAACAAAUAGUAUUCCAAUUAUUGUUUCUCCGUAUAAACUUGAGUACAUUUCAGACUCCUAUCUUAACAAUAUAUAGAUAAAUACAUACACUAGUAUGCAUCUUACCAAGUACCCUACAUAAAAAAAAAAUAAUUAAAAAAAAAAUACAAAUAUAUUAAUAGGGUUUCUACACAAACAUACACUUUUAUGAAUGUAUAAGAGUCUUACCAAGAAUGCAUCCAAAAACUGAAAAUGAAAAGGCAAUACCUCCAAAAGGGGAUGAACCACUACCAAAAGCAGUAGUUGAGGAAACACUAAAAGAUGGAACUGAACUUUUGAUGAAAACUGAUUGGGACCCAAAUGAGCUGCUCGAUAAUUACCUAAAGGCUGUAAAAUCAUAGAAAUGUAUUCAAAUAAGUAAUUACAAAUAACUGGACAUAAGCACAAUGUAAUAUCCAACCACAAAACACAAAAGAUAUACACAAACAUGGAAGAAAAUAUGUGAUGUGUUAAAAGAGUGCAACAAUAGAGUGUUAUUUGUGCAAAAUAUCAUUAGCAUGACAAAUAUAUUAAUCAGUCUACGUUUGACAACCCAAUGCAAAAAAAACAUUAAAAAACAGUCUUUGCAAUCUUUAUUUUAUCUUACAACAUCCAAAUUUGACAUGAUCUAAAUUUGACAUGGAAAAAUAUAAAAAUCGCAUUUUUUUUUUUGAAAUUAACAACAAGCUCCCUUGCUCACAAAAUCUCAGAAUUAAAAACCCCAUUUACAUCUAUUUGUUGAAGGUUAUUAUAAAAUUUUAUCUAAACCUAUUAAGAAAAAUAAAUCUAGGCAAAUAGAAAAAAUGUUUGUUGUCAUCUUACCUUCCUUUGAUUGAAGGAAGAAGAUCCAGAUCUGAAAAUCUAUGCUCACCACUAUACCAAUUUAGCAAGAGGAGAGAAAGAGAGAAGAAGGAAGAGGAAAGGAAGAAGAAUGGUUAAGAGAGAAAUGUCAGGACCUAUGGAUCAGGAAUAGUCAAGGGCCUAGU